rnacentral:ncRNA from 1 species
UCGGAUCACCAGGGGUGCUCCCACCAUGUAUUCGCACAGACUCGCGCGCUCGCGGCCGGCAUUGCCGGCCCGGGACGUGAUCUUGCGUUGCAUUGCGGGCAGCUGAGAAAGACCCUCACCACCGGAACGAGAUAAUGCUCGCGUCGGGAGUGUGUUUCCGUGCCUGC